UAUAUUUCCACUAGAAACUAAAAAAUACUUUUGAUUUUAGAUUUUUGCAGUGCAAAACAAAAUGCUCAAUUAAAAAAUUGCUAUAAUUUCAAAAUGCACUUAUAAGCGCUUUCUAAUCGUUUAUCCAAAUAUUAGUGGAAUCUUUUUAAUCUGAGCUUUUCCGGUAAAUUCAGAUGAAAAUGACAAAAGCAGAUUAUGAGGAACUUUAUACGAUGGCCAGACACUCGAUCCGCUCGCGUGUUUAAAUCAACGUCUCCCUCCCGCUUUUAGAAGCCCUGAGUCAAGACACAGAGACAGGAUUAGACGCUGACCUCUGACCUUUCAGCCACGCCAGGAGCUGCUUCACACAGAGGGACCAGAAAAAGACUCUGGAUGUCAGGAAAAAAUACAAAGUUAGAACGGCUCGACUGUAAAGUCAGCAACACGACCACAAAUCCAAAAAUGGAAAAAACAAAA